UGAGUAACACGUAUCCAACCUGCCGUCUACUCUUGGACAGCCUUCUGAAAGGAAGAUUAAUACAAGAUGGCAUCAUGAGUCCGCAUGUUCACAUGAUUAAAGGUAUUCCGGUAGACGAUGGGGAUGCGUUCCAUUAGAUAGUAGGCGGGGUAACGGCCCACCUAGUCUUCGAUGGAUAGUGGUUCUGAGAGGAAGGUCCCCCACAUUGGAACUGAGACACGGUCCAA
rnacentral:rRNA from 1 species